AGUGGCAUUACUGGGUCAUAUGGUAGUUCUAUUUUUAAUUUUUUGAGGAAUCUCUAUAAUAUUUUCCAUAAUUACUAUACUAAUUUACAUUCCCAUCAAAAGC
rnacentral:pre_miRNA from 1 species